rnacentral:precursor_RNA from 15 species
GCCACAGUCAUUGCUGAAUGCAGGGUGUCUCAAAAGUUUUAGUGUAGUUUUAAGUUUAUUAAAGCUUAAACUGCUCUAAGACCUUUGGGACACUCUGUAUACUCCCUCCACCCCAACCU